AUGAUGCUAGGCCGAACCAAUUAUAUAUAUAAUGAGAUAGCAAGCUUGCCGAUACAGGCAAAGAGUGCAACUUUUGGCCAUCUUGAUCCCCUCGUCACCCUUUCUUUCUUGGCUACUCCUCCGCUUGAUCUCUCACACUCAACCUUGAGAAGCCAACGGUGGGGAGCACUUGAGGCACAUGAGGGCAGUGAUUCCAGCUGGGAGCUCUGGAGACCUCAACCUGGAGCCAAAUCACAACCCAGCAGCAGGUGGAAGAUCCGGCAUGAAGGAGCUUGCCACCUCACCCUUAUGUUCAAAAGGGGAAGGAGGAAUGAGAGGUCAAGUUUUUGUUGGAUGGGGAGCGAGCAAGAGCUGGACUCGAACGGGAUUAGUGGGAAGGAUGAGAAUGCAGAUUCUGACUCAAUAUGCCCAUCCCAAGAGCUUGGAAGAUGGGUACUUAUGUUCUAACGGACAAGAG
rnacentral:lncRNA from 1 species